GUAAAUAUAGUUUAACUAAAACACUAGAUUGUGAUUCUAGUAACAGGGGUUAAAGUCCCCUUAUUCACC
rnacentral:tRNA from 1 species